rnacentral:rRNA from 1 species
UACGAAGGGGGCUAGCGUUGUUCGGAAUUACUGGGCGUAAAGCGCACGUAGGCGGAUUGUUAAGUCGAGGGUGAAAUCCCAGGGCUCAACCCUGGAACUGCCUUCGAUACUGGCAUUCUUGAGUCCGAGAGAGGUGAGUGGAAUUCCGAGUGUAGAGGUGAAAUUCGUAGAUAUUCGGAAGAACACCAGUGGCGAAGGCGGCUCACUGGCUCGGAACUGACGCUGAGGUGCGAAAGCGUGGGGAGCAAACAGG